rnacentral:rRNA from 1 species
GAUGAACGCUGGCGGCGUGCCUAAUACAUGCAAGUCGAGCGAAUGGAUUAAGAGCUUGCUCUUAUGAAGUUAGCGGCGGACGGGUGAGUAACACGUGGGUAACCUGCCCAUAAGACUGGGAUAACUCCGGGAAACCGGGGCUAAUACCGGAUAACAUUUUGAACCGCAUGGUUCGAAAUUGAAAGGAGGCUUCGGCUGUCACUUAUGGAUGGACCCGCGUCGCAUUAGCUAGUUGGUGAGGUAACGACUCACCAAGGCAACGAUGCGUAGCCGACCUGAGAGGGUGAUCGGCCACACUGGGACUGAGACACGGCCCAGACUCCUACGGGAGGCGGCAGUAGGGAAUCUUCCGCAAUGGACGAAAGUCUGACGGAGCAACGCCGCGUGAGUGAUGAAGGCUUUCGGGUCGUAAAACUCUGUUGUUAGGGAAGAACAAGUGCUAGUUGAAUAAGCUGGCACCUUGACGGUACCUAACCAGAAAGCCACGGCUAACUACGUGCCAGCCGCCGCAGUAA